UACGUAGGGGGCAAGCGUUGUCCGGAAUCAUUGGGCGUAAAGAGCGUGUAGGCGGCCCGGUAAGUCCGCUGUAAAAGUCAAAGGCUCAACCUUUGAAUGUCAGUGGAUACUGCCGGGCUAGAGUCCGGAAGAGGCGAGUGGAACUCCUGGUGUAGCGGUGGAAUGCGCAGAUAUCAGGAGGAACACCGGUGGCGAAGGCGGGUCUCUGGGCAGUAACUGACGCUGAGGAGCGAAAGCGUGGGGAGCGAACAGG
rnacentral:rRNA from 1 species